GUUGGGAUUUAAUGGAAUAAAAUAACUUUCUUAGCUCCAAUUCGAUUUCUAUACACUUUUACAGACAAUUAUAAGCUAGCUGCUUUGUAGAUUCUGUAUAAAGUAUCAAAUCUGUAUUUGGAUAAGUUUUUAAGACUUUGAAAAGAUGACGAUUGGAAAUCAAGCUCCAAAGAAGGAGAGAAGGUCAAGGAGGAGCAAAACCGUUAAUGAGAAAGCUCCCUUGUUGCCUAAAAGUCAAGAGGAGGAUGCUGGUUUUGAUGAGUUU
rnacentral:misc_RNA from 1 species